rnacentral:rRNA from 1 species
GAUGAGCGCUGGCGGCGUGCCUAAUACAUGCAAGUCGAGCGAACGGACGAGAAGCUUGCUUUUCUGAUGUUAGCGGCGGACGGGUGAGUAACACGUGGAUAACCUACCUAUAAGACUGGGAUAACUUCGGGAAACCGGAGCUAAUACCGGAUAAUAUUUUGAACCGCAUGGUUCAAAAGUGAAAGACGGUCUUGCUGUCACUUAUAGAUGGAUCCGCGCUGCAUUUGCUAGUUGGUAAGGUAACGGCUUACCAAGGCAACGAUGCAUAGCCGACCUGAGAGGGUGAUCGGCCACACUGGAACUGAGACACGGUCCAGACUCCUACGGGAGGCAGCAGUAGGGAAUCUUCCGCAAUGGGCGAAAGCCUGACGGAGCAACGCCGCGUGAGUGAUGAAGGUCUUCGGAUCGUAAAACUCUGUUAUUAGGGAAGAACAUAUGUGUAAGUAACUGUGCACAUCUUGACGGUACCUAAUCAGAAAGCCACGGCUAACUACGUG